AGACGGGGAGCAGACUUCCCCUGUGUCCCAAGGGGGACCGCAUUACCCAAGCCGGUCUCACCAGGGCUAAAAGCAGCAGAGGCUGGGGAGACUGAGAAGGUGCCUUGCCACACCGGACAAACCCAUUGUGCAGCAGGAAAUGAUCCUCUGCUUGCUCCCGCUGCUGCUGCAUCUUGAAGACCAGGAUGAGAGUGUGUCACUGGUAAGUGCCACGGUCAUUAUUUCCUUAAGAGCAAAGAGCCAGAAUCCCCUGGGGCCCCCACUCCAUUAAUGGCCAGAGCCCCUUGCCCAAGCAGAGUCUUCUCCCUGCUUCACUCCAUGCUGGAGCCUAGUGCCUCAUCCAUUCGCACAGCACACAGCACAAUUUGGAAGAAAAGCCUUCUUCUGGGAAAGAGUCCUGACCCUCUAUUGCAAAGACAGGCCUCAGGUUUACAACAACAAGAGGCAGCAAAAGAAAAGGGAGCAUAAAUCUGUAAGUGCCCCUUCGGUUCAGGGAGCUGAUAUCUGCCUACAGCCUUCUGGAAAAUGGGUGCAGCUGCCCUGACUUCUUCCCUGGGGCUCCUGAGAGAACUUCUCCAGGUCCUAGCUUCCCAACAUUCACUAGACAUUGAUUUCUUUUGUUGGGCCAAUUGGGAUGUGGAGGGAAGUCUGAUCUGGGGGCCCCUUUGGUCCGACUCUUUGGGAUCCCAAAGCUGACUCACGCUCUCAUGCAGUCUCUUUGCACAGAAGGACUGAGCUGUGGAGAUCUCUUAUGGCUCCCUCCAAUCAAUUCUCAGUUCCCUCUCCUGAGCACAGUCCUGUGUACAACAAAUUACAGGAAUCUCCACUAGCAGGAAAAGAAGAACAAGGGACGGGGAAGGUCCGAUGUCCCCCAGACUAUCGCUCCCUCAAUGAGAACUCUCUUGGUCUCACCUUCUCUUGCAGAGAUGUAAACUGACCCUCUUCCGCUGCACAGUGUUUCUCAGGUGGGCUCAUUUGAAGAUGCUGUUCCGCAGCAUGGCCUGGGAUGGCUCCUCUCAGCUCCUGAAGUGUGCCUGGAAGUGCUUGAUGCAGAACAACGAGAGCUGCAUCCCCAAAUUCCUGUUCCAGGCCUUAGAGUACCUGGAAAGCUCAUUGUAGGGAGCCAGGGUGGCUUCCCUCCGAACCUGAGGGUAAAGAGCUGCUCUCUCAGCCUGAGGAGAUGGGCCAGACCAAGCUUACUCCACCUCCCAGAAGUGGAGCCAUGGAACAGGAAGUACAAAGGGUGGGGCCCUUAGCCCAGUCAGGGCACCACCAGGGAGAGAGGCAGAUGCAGAUCGCUGGCUGUUCCCUUCAGACCCUGCUGCUGGGCCAGGGGAGGCCCUGGACCAGGAGAAACCUGACCUGGAGGAAGGACAAGGGCUGCCAGAGCUGCCUGCCACCGAGUACCCAGAGGAACUGGAGGAGCCUGAGGCGCAGGGAGAGCUGGAGCUGCCAGCAGCUGAGUACCCGGAGGAGCUGGAGGAGCCAGAUGCGGAGGGGGAGCUGGAGCUGCCAGCAGCCGAGUACCUGGAGGAGCUGGAGCUGCCAGCAGCCAAGUACCUGGAGGAGCCAGAGGCGGAGUGGGAGACAACAAUAAGACAUUCUGCAGCCCUGUCCAUUGGAAAUACUAUCCACCAUUACUGCAACUUGUUGUCUGAAACGGUGAAUGAAGAUGGCAUCUCCCACCUGUAUGAAGCUUUUCAGGAAGUGCCUUUGACAUCUGACAGGACCACAUGGUACAUCCUCAAUAGACAUUACAAAUGGUUGCAGAAGCUUGGCAAUCUCGUUUCGGGUUCUGCAUUUGACUAGGGAACUGGAACUGACACAGAAGACCUCUUUGUCCUGCUAUGCAUGGAGAGUUGAUCAGCACAAGUGACCAGGCAGUCCCAGAAUAAAAAAAGAGCUCCAGCAUGGACCGUACGGGAGACACUGAAACUGAUCUCUGUAUGAGGAGAUGAAUCUCUUCUAUCAGAACUCCGUUCCAAUAGACAAAAUGCCAAAACAUUUGAAAAAAUCUCCAAGGCUAUG